rnacentral:rRNA from 1 species
CCUACGGGAGGCAGCAGUGGGGGAUAUUGCACAAUGGGGGGAACCCUGAUGCAGCGACGCCGCGUGGGUGAAGGAGCGUUUCGGCGCGUAAGGCCCUAUCGGCAGGGAAGAAGGAGGACGGUACCUGACUAAGAAGCCCCGGCUAACUACGUGCCAGCAGCCGCGGUAAUACGUAGGGAGCGAGCGUUGUCCGGAAUUACUGGGUGUAAAGGGAGCGUAGGCGGGACUGCAAGUUGGGGGUCAAAUCUACCGGCUCAACCGGUAGCCGCACUCAAAACUGCAGUUCUUGAGUGAAGUAGAGGCAG